AUGGAAGCAGAUACCAUCCUACUUCACCCAAUCCUUGGACUAUGCAAGGUCACUGCAAUUGACUACAGAUUUGGUGGCCUGAAUGUCAUCCCGCUUGAAGAAUCAUGGACUAGGUGCCCGCUUCAGAAGAUCUCUGCCACCAAUCUAUCAACUAGUGUCUACAUACCUGACAGUUACGGGGGUGAAACUGCAAUCCUGGUACGCUGUUCAAGAGAGUUGAUACCAACAGAGAAGGCCGGUACGACACCAGGUAUGGGGGACAGUAUUGUUGGCCCAAUCUCUUGCCUGAGCAACACAAGCCAGUUCAUAUAUUUGAUGGACGGUAGUGAACCAAUGUAUAUUCUUCCCUUAGACUGCAAAGUGGUUUCAAAUGGUAUUUCAACGCCGUGGGAUUAUGAUGUCAAUGAUGUGUUAUUCACUGAAAGAGCCAGAAGGGUCAUUGCAUUUGGUGAGACAACCUUGACUUGGUCAGUUCCUAACAUAACCGACAUUUGUCUAGACUGCGAGCGAAACGGGCAUUCCUGCGGAUUCAGCUCACAACGCAGGCAAGCAUUCUGCAAGCGCCAAGGUUCACGUGUGAAAGUCAUUGCAGCAACAUCAUCGGUAGCCACAUUUGUGGUUCUCUUAUUGACGGCAGCCACAGCACUCUAUCGGUCCCUAAAAUCAAAGGUCGAUGAAGAGGUGCGUUUGAAAAUCGAAAUGUUUCUCAAGGCAUAUGGCACAUCAAAACCAACAAGGUACACAUUCUCUGAAGUUAAAAAAGUAACAAGGCGAUUCAAAGAUAGACUGGGUCAGGGUGGAUUUGGAAGCGUAUACAAAGGUCAGCUGGCAAAUGGAGUACCUGUGGCAGUAAAGAUGCUGGAGAAUUCAAAGAGCGAUGGAGAAGAAUUCAUGAAUGAAGUCGCAACCAUUGGUAGAAUCCACCAUGCUAAUGUGGUCCGUCUCUUGGGAUUCUGCUCAGAAGGAACAAGGCGUGCUCUUAUCUAUGAAUUCAUGCCUAACGGAUCACUCGAGAAGUAUAUAUUCGCACAUGAAUCAGAUAUUUAUCGAGAGCUAUUAGCACCUAAUAAAAUGCUGGACAUAGCAUCAGGCAUUGCACGGGGAAUAGAAUACCUGCAUCAAGGGUGCGAUCAGCGGAUCCUCCAUUUUGACAUCAAGCCUCACAACAUCUUGCUAGAUUACAGAUUUAGUCCAAAGAUUUCUGAUUUUGGGCUUGCGAAGCUGUGUACAAGGGACCAUAGCAUCGUCACACUGACUGCAGCUAGAGGAACAAUGGGUUACAUUGCACCAGAACUGUAUUCUCGAAACUUUGGGAGAAUAUCCAGCAAGUCCGAUGUCUAUAGCUUUGGCAUGCUGGUGCUGGAAAUGGUGAGCGGUAGGAGGAACUCAGAUCCAUGGAUUGAGAACCAAAACGAGGUUUACAUCCCAGAAUGGAUAUAUGAGAAAAUAAGCACGGAGCAAGAACUGGAAUCAUCAAGGGAAAUGACGCAAGAAGAGAAGGAUACAGUAAGAAAGCUAGCCAUUGUGGCACUGUGGUGCAUUCAGUGGAACCCGAAAAACCGCCCAUCCAUGCCGAAAGUGCUGAACAUGUUAACAGGAACCUUGCAGAGCUUAACGAUGCCCCCCAAGCCAUUUAUUUCGUCUCCGGGCCACCCCAUGCCACAAAUCUAG
rnacentral:rRNA from 1 species